GAUGAACGCUAGCUACAGGCUUAACACAUGCAAGUCGAGGGGAAACGAUAGAGAAAGCUUGCUUUUUCUAGGCGUCGACCGGCGCACGGGUGAGUAACGCGUAUCCAACCUGCCCAUCACUUGGGGAUAACCUUGCGAAAGUAAGACUAAUACCCAAUGAUAUCUCUAGAAGACAUCUGAAAGAGAUUAAAGAUUUAUCGGUGAUGGAUGGGGAUGCGUCUGAUUAGCUUGUUGGCGGGGUAACGGCCCACCAAGGCGACGAUCAGUAGGGGUUCUGAGAGGAAGGUCCCCCACAUUGGAACUGAGACACGGUCCAAACUCCUACGGGAGGCAGCAGUGAGGAAUAUUGGUCAAUGGACGAGAGUCUGAACCAGCCAAGUAGCGUGCAGGAUGACGGCCCUAUGGGUUGUAAACUGCUUUAUAAGGGAAUAAAGUGAGUCUCGUGAGGCUUUUGCAUGUACCUUAUGAAUAAGGACCGGCUAAUUCCGUGCCAGCAGCC
rnacentral:rRNA from 1 species